rnacentral:rRNA from 1 species
UAGGGAAUCUUCGGCAAUGGGGGCAACCCUGACCGAGCAACGCCGCGUGAGUGAAGAAGGUUUUCGGAUCGUAAAGCUCUGUUGUAAGUCAAGAACGGGUGUGAGAGUGGAAAGUUCACACUGUGACGGUAGCUUACCAGAAAGGGACGGCUAACUACGUGCCAGCAGCCGCGGUAAUACGUAGGUCCCGAGCGUUGUCCGGAUUUAUUGGGCGUAAAGCGAGCGCAGGCGGUUUGAUAAGUCUGAAGUUAAAGGCUGUGGCUCAACCAUAGUUCGCUUUGGAAACUGUCAAACUUGAGUGCAGAAGGGGAGAGUGGAAUUCCAUGUGUAGCGGUGAAAUGCGUAGAUAUAUGGAGGAACACCGGUGGCGAAAGCGGCUCUCUGGUCUGUAACUGACGCUGAGGCUCGAAAGCGUGGGGAGCGAACAGGAUUAGAUACCCUGGUAGUCCACGCCGUAAACGAUGAGUGCUAGGUGUUGGAUCCUUUCCGGGAUUCAGUGCCGCAGCUAACACAUUAAGCACUCCGCCUGGGGAGUACGACCGCAAGGUUGAAACUCUAAAGUGAAUUGAC